AGUACACAAAUGUCAACACCCAGGACGGCGCAAUCUUGUAUUCUAUCAUUCUUGUACGGGCUCUAUAAAGCAACAUAAAGCUCUGUUCUGUCCCGAUUUAGCAUUGUGCCAUUACAGCCCCUUCGGCAUGAACUGGUAUGUCAGUCACGGGGUAUAUCUUGUUCAAAAGGACCACAACCUACCAAGCUGUUCAGUAUUGCUACCCGUUGAAAAUUAUUGAAAGAAAAUAGAUAAAAACGAAAGAAGGCAUCAAAAAGUUAUCAGAAUUUCAAAAUUAAUUCAAUAACGGAUGUCCGUAUCCUAAUGGAAGGACUCAAAUGUGAAUCUUUCACACGUUCCAGCUUACAGCUUUGGUAUUAAACAUUCGCCCUACAUUGGACAACUUCACGAACAACGCGAUAACAGUUUCUCGGGCAUAUGUUGAAACUCAAAGCUUAUUCGCGCUGGUCAUCAAAACUCCAAGACGGUUUACUUCAGUUACAACUUCACACAAUAACACGAACUAACCUAAGUUAUACUUUUAACUGUUCUAACUAUUUUUUACGCUAUUGAGUUUGUAAAUCCUUAACAACGUUUUGUAAAACUAUAACUAUUAAGCAAAAGUUCGAAUAAAAGACAUAUUUUAAAGUUA